GGCUCCGCCCACGAAGCCAUGGACGCAGGUAAACAAACCGACUCGGAGCAGACGGAGUUCGUCCGAGCUCGAUCGAGCCGAGCUGCCUCCAAGAGGCUCAGUGACCAGAAACGGAGCAAAACCCGGGUGAAUAUCGGAGGUGCCUUUAAAACAUGGAGACGGCUCAGAGCCCGGCACGACUUCAAGAACGACGCCGAGGUGGCUAAUUUUCUCCUGAACAGUUACCUCCGUACCAAGUCCGAGAGUCGACCUGAACCACAGAGCCUGGAGAGGAGUUCUUCAACAGAAACCUGUGAAAGUGUCCAUUAUGAAUUCCCAAUAAUGAGUUCACCAAAUGAAACUGAGCCGGACAACGAUGCUGCUCCUUCUCUCCACUCAUCUGAUGAUGGAAGGGAGUCAGGGAGUACAAGUCAAGAUGAGUGGACAACCAAACAAAUGGAAAAUAAAGAAAAUGCAGACGAUCCAGAAGGCGAGGAUGAAGAAUUCAGCACCUCAUUAAGUGUGGGAGACGGACGUUACCUGGUGGACUUGGGGAGCCCGUCAGAGUUCGUUGUGGAUGAAGAAUGCAUCAUCCAGCUGUUCAAGUCAUGCCGGGAAUGCAACAGACAAUGUACAGUUAGGAAACGUGUCAAAGGACUAAAGCUCGUUGUUUACCAGACGUGCUGCUUCUGUCAGAGCCACUGCAAAUGGACGAACCUGCCAGAUGACAAAGAGGAUAGCGAUUUCCAGGUCAACGGUAAAGACACAUCACAUGGCGAGACCAACGCAGCAGUGUCACCAAACAGUAAUACUAGCUGA
rnacentral:lncRNA from 1 species